GAAAGAUUUAUCUGCAGCCAAAAAAGAGGUGUCGAGGGCAGACUCCAGUAUGGCUGAGGCUCUUGCUGCAAAGAAUGCUGAAAUUGAGGCUCUUGUUAGUUCUAUGGAUGCACUUAAGAAGCAAGCUGCACUCUCCGAAGGAAACUUGGCAUCAUUGCAGGCUAAUAUGGAGUCUUUAAUGAGAAACAGGGAAUUAACAGAGACAAGGAUGAUGCAAGCUUUAAGGGAGGAGCUGGGUGCUGCAGAGCGAAGAUCAGAAGAAGAGCGUGCUGCUCAUAAUUCUACCAAAAAGGCUUUUAUGGAAAGGGAGGUAGAACUGGAGCACCGAGCUUUAGAGGCAUCCACAGCCUUGGCUAGGGCACAGAGAACAGCUGAUGAAAGGACUGCCAAGGCAACAGAGUUUGAGCAGAAGGUGGCACUGCUUGAGGUUGAAUGUGCAACUCUAAAUCAAGAACUGCAAGACAUGGAAGCUCGUACUCGUCGUGGACAAAAGAAGUCCUCAGAAGAGGC
rnacentral:misc_RNA from 1 species